GGUCUCCUGGUGUAGUGGUAGCGCAUCACGGAAGUACUGAAUCAUUUGCCGGCGGCAAGGAGCGCGCUUAUUCAAGACGUGAAGGCCUGGAUUCGAUUUCCAGGGAGACCG